rnacentral:misc_RNA from 1 species
GAUGAAGAACGUAGCUAAAUGCGAUACUUGGUGUGAAUUGCAGAAUCCCGUGAACCAUCGAGUCUUUGAACGCAAGUUGCGCCCGAAGCCAUUAGGCCGAGGGCACGCCUGCCUGGGCGUCACACGUCGUUGCCCCCCCAUCUACUCCUUCGGGAUUGCGGGGGGCGGAUGAUGGCCUCCCGUGCGCCUCGCCGCGCGGUUGGCAUAAAUGCCAAGUCCUCGGCGACGCACGCCACGACAAUCGGUGGUUGCGAAACCUCGGUUGCCCGUCGUGUGCGGUCGUCGCGCAUCGAGGGCUCGAAAAAAUUGCCGGGUUCCGGCUCGGCUUUCAACGCGACCCCAGGUCAGGCGGGGUUACCCGCUGAAUUUAAGCAUAUCAAUAAGCGGAGGA